rnacentral:lncRNA from 1 species
CGGCCGACGGCUCCCACUUGUCGGUGAUUACGUCGUGGCACGAGGGUUUAGGAGCUUGAGGAGUCAUCCAGAACCAAAUGGCGGUUUUGAAAGCUAUCACUGGGUCGCUGGACGCAACAUCUGGGUUCUUGAGUAACUCGAGUCCUAGGUCUCUCCCGCACGGUCCGUAAUUAUAGUUCCAAGACAGCAUCAUUGGUCCUCGUCCGUAGUAAAAUUUGCCUGGUGCGCAUGGCCACUCGAGGUUGUUGCUAUCACAGUGGGGAUCGCUUUUGUCAAUUUCUUCCUUGUAACAGUAGCCCCAUGUAUUUGCUCCAUCGGGUGCACCCGACCACCCACCUUCAACAUGUUACCGUUAUUUUCAUAAGAGAAUUUGUUUCUAAAAGAUAACUUUUCUAUUGUCUAUGCAUGAAUUAAUAAUGGUAGCUAGGUAACUCGUUAUUUUUUUAUAAAUAAUUACUACUCCCUCUGUUUCAAUAUAGAUGAUGUUUUAGGUAAUUGUUUUUGUUUCACAAUGGAUGAUAUUUUCAUAUAUCUAAAUAACUUUAACUUUAUCAAAAACUGUGUAGGUAAUUAUGUUUUUACUAUUUUUUUAUAAUUAAAUAAAUUAGUAUUAAAUUAUAUUUUAAUGAUUUUAUGUUUGGAAAAGAUAAUUUCUUAAUAUUGUGCAAAAUACUAAAACUUCAUCUAUUAUGAAACGGAGAGAGUAUUAGUUAAAAAUUAUUGAAAACAGUUAAUCAUUAAUAGGAUGUAUAUGUUUUCAAAUUUUAAUUUGUUUUGAAUAUGUGUAUAUAAAUUUUACUAGAUGAGUAUUUUCUAUUUUUAAAAAGUGGUACAGAUAUUUUGAACAUAAAGAAUCAUAGAGGUCAAAAUAUUCUGUUUUGAGUUUGGUGUUUGCUUUUAGCGGUUUUACAAAACUUUCUUUUUAUAUAAAAAUAAGAAAUGUGUGUGCAUUUUAAAACAAAUUACUAGUUUUUUUCAUCUAAAUUUAAAUUCAAAACUUGUGUUUGAAAAUAGAACCAAAGUAGUAAUAUUUAUUACCGGUGGUUUCGUGGGAAGUCUGGCCGAAGAAGGCUGCUAUCUCCUUCUUCCUCAUGGCAAGGUCUCCGGUGUUCCCGAAACUUGGGAAAGACUUAGCGGCGGUGAUGAAGGCGUCGUAAGUGAAGAAACCAACAGCAUGACAAUCAUUGUCGUUCAUGUGCUUAAGCAUUUUAUAGAACUGAUCUCUUGAAAUGAUGCCAGAAAGAUCCCCGCUGGGACCAGGAGGAGUGGGACCAGGAGGGGUAGGACUAGGAGGAGUGGGAGUAGGAGGAGUGGGAGUGGGAGCAGGAGGAGUGGGAAUGGGAGUGCACUGGCUUUGGCAACCAUGCCCGCAGUAAGCUUCGGUGGUGCCGCACCAUCCAGCCUCGCUACAGCAUAGACCGUUGGGGCAGAGGGCUCCCGCGGGUAUGGAUUGACGACCACACUGCGGGGUUGGAGGAGGAGGAUAGGGACCAGGAUUGCACUGGCUUUGACAACCAUGCCCGCAGUAAGCUUCGGUGGUGCCGCACCAUCCAGCCUCGCUGCAGCAUAGACCGUUGGGGCAGAGUGCUCCCUCGGGUAUGGAUUGACUACCGCAUUGCUCACCGGAGGAAAAUGAUAAGAGAAGUGAGAAGAUGAGAAGGAGAAGGAGAUAAGUCUUCAUGUUUCUCUGAGCUGUAUGGUUGUUUUAAGAGGCAAGUAAGGGUAUAUAUAGCAACAUGCAAUGUACAAAAUCAGUUAGUGUUAAAUCACAUCGAAUUUUAUAUACUUGUUUUUAUGUUUUCUAGACUUCUAUUUUUUCUGGAAAGAAAAAAAGUGGUUUCACUUCUUUGCCAGAAACCUAAGCAUUAUAAAUAGUCUCUCCCACCGUGAAUUGAACCUGGGUGGCGGUAGUUACAAGCGUAACCCUUUUAUCAUUAGGCCAAUUCAACGUUGGUAAAAAAAAAAAAAGAUGGUUUCACCUUUUUACCGGGAACCCAAACAUUCUAAACUUCUAUUUUGUCACCACCAAGUUCAUUUGGCACGUUUAUCUAAUGGUCUAUAGAAUAUUUCUACACGAUAGCUGGACCACCCUCUCUCUAGCUCAUGAGUCACUAGAGGGACCACCCUCUCUGACGUUCACGAAUCACUGCUACCAUAAAUUAAUUCAAUAUAAGGUGGGUUCGCUUGAUAGAAUCGAAGAUAAGCAGUGCUGGUUUGUUUUUAUGUUUACUAUACUUAAAUACUAAUUGUUCUAAAAUUUGCCACCACCUUCAUUUCCCACAUUUACCUCAUUGUCUAUAUAGAAUUUGUCUAACACGAUAUAUGAUGGACCACCCUCUCUCUACCUCAUGAGUCACUACUCACUAGCUGGACCACACUAUCUCUAGCAGAGUCACUAGCUGCUGGACUACCCUCUCUGAAGCUCAGGAGUCACUGACUGUACCACCCUAAUUAAGGCUCAUGAAUCACAUACCCCCCAAUAGGAUGGGUUCGCUUGAUACGAUGGAAGAUGAAGUUUAUGAGAAGAGAUGGAAUUCACGGACAAAUGUUUUUUUUGUUGUUUUAGCGAGAAUAUAUAUUUUAUGGUUUUGGCGAAAAUAUGUGUGUUUACAAUUUUGGUGGAAAACUAUAAUUGUUUUUGAAACUUGUUGAGAAACUAUAUCACAAUUAUCAUGUUUGUCUAGUUUGAAUAUAAUUUUUGUUAAAAUAAAGGUGAAAUUGUCAUUUGUUAUUUUGGACUCUUUUGGAUGGGUUAUUUUGAUGAAUUUUAUUUAAAAUUAAAAUCUUAAAAUUUAUCUGGAUGGAUCAUUUGGAUGAUUCCUAUGUUAACGAUAAACAUAUUUGUUUUUAGAGCAUUCUCAAUAGAUUUUUAAACAUUUAAAUUUUGAGAAUUUUAACUUUUUAACAGAUUUUUAAACCUUCUAAUUUUAAAGGUAUGAAUAGUAAAACCUCAUAUUUGAUAUUCUAUUAUUCUAUUAUUCAAAAUUUUAAAAUGCUAUUUAUUUUUUAUUUUAGUUUUUAUGAUUUAGUAACUUACAUAUAAUUAUAUUAAUAUUAUUUUUAUAUCAUUUUAAUUUUUUUGAAAAAUGUAUCACUUUAAUUUUUAUAAUUAUAUUUUACCUAAAUAUUCAAGUAUAUAUUCACAUAUAUAUAUUACUAUAUAAAAUAUAUUAUUAUGUAAAGAAAAAAACAAAAAAAAAAUACAAUGUUUCAUCUUAAAUUACUAUAUAAAAUAUAUUAUUAUGUACAUGUAACUUGAAAGAAUCACGUGGUGACGGGAAAUAUAUGAAUGUGGGGCGGCGUUUCAAAAAGAGAACAGCCAUGACCAUUUUCUCAUAUAAUACUAGAGUCGGUCCGCACUACGGACGGGAUAUACUUUAUUUAUGAUUUCGGUUUUUAUUCCUUUGUAUGAUUUUGUGGUUUGUGUUUUAGAUUUGCAUUUGCAUUUGUAAGUGAUGUAUAUAAUAAUGAUAUUUCUUUAUUAGAAAAUUUUAAGUGAUGAAGGAUAUUACAUUCAUUUUAGUUAAUGUUGGAUGUUGUUUAUUUUUCUAACUUGUUUAUGUUUUUUUUAUUUGUUUUCAAAUACAUUUUCUGACAUUGUACUAUUUUAUUAUUAUCUUUCCUUUUUCUUAUGUUUUUUAUAAUGAACAAAUAUUUUUAUAUCAUCUUCACAUAAGUCUAACUAAACUCUUUUAUUUUUUUAUUUUUUUAUUAGUGUUAUUAGAGAUUAUAAGUUUGUAUUAGUAUGACAUGAUGUUCAUGAUUUAAAUGGUAUUAUACGUUUUCUUAAAUGUUUGCUCAACUUUUCUUAUAUAUAGUAAGUAGAUUUCAGUUUUUAUUGUCGUGGUUAGAUUUAAUACUCAAAAUAUUGAUUAUUUUAUAUAGUUUUUCAACAUUGUACGUGGGUUUUUAUUUUUUAUUCUUAUUAAAAUAUUUGUAUAUUUAUGUAUUAACAUAUUAACAUGAUUAUUCAUUUUAAAAUUCAAAAUAAACCAAUCUACAUCUUUUUGCUAAAAAUAUAUAAAUAGUUAAUUUUUUAUUUAUUGGUUCAGUAAUUCACAUUUAUUAGAAUAAUUUACUUAUAACUAAUAUUUAAAAGAAAUAAAUUGAUAGACAACAAAUCAAAUUUAGAAUCUAGCUAUUACUUUGUAUGUUAUAACUAUAUAAAUUUUAUGCAUUUUACCAUUUUUUAAAAAUAUUUUAUUCUGCUAAUAUGAAAUCUAAUUAAAGAUUGAGAGUGAGUGUCGUAUCCAUGAUGUUUACUCAUGGCCGUAACAAAAAAAAACAUUAAGCCCAUAAUUAUUGGACAAAUACACAACACACGAAAACCCAAUAUGAUUUCCAAUUAAAUGAAUCGCAGCGUUAGCACAAGGGGACACGUGUUGUCUCUCAGAAAACGAAUUUUCAGCUGGAUAACCUAGAAGUGAGGCAAACAAUUAUAUAUAUAUAUAGAUAGAUUCGUUCUUAAGUCCUUGACAUAAUAAUUUCUAAGUUCUAACAACUCAUGAGUCAUGAACAUUUUCUUUUUAUAUAUUCUGUGUAGCGGUCCUCUUUAAUCCAAUAGUUUUAUUAACAAUUUAUAAUAUUUUUACAUUAAAAAACUGCUUUUCGAUAAUUUUUUUUUUGACUGAUGCAUUUCGAAUCUUAAAAACAAUUUUUAACAACUAAGCCAAUUUUUUCAAAAAAUAAAACAAAAAUGUGCACCAUACUUAAAAUAAAACUGUAGAUGUAAAUUCAUAUAAAAUAAUUUUAAAUGAUGUAAAUAUAACAGUAUAAUCAUCAAUGUAAUAAUUCUCAUAAUUUGUAACAGAAUAAUAACUGAGUUCUUGAAAAACUAUUUUAUCUAAGGUGCAAGUGUUAAUCGGAAUGAAUGUUUUAUUUGUCGUUGAACAACAAUGGUUCCUUUAAAACAAGCUUACUAUCAGGUUCAACUUCAGUGUGUGAUGAGUUUUUCGCAUUACACCUUCUCCAUAAACUUGAGCUGCUGCUCUCUUCAACAUUCGUGGGUGUCUGGUUCUUGCUCUCGACGUAAUGAAGACAAACUUGGACAGCAUCGUGUACUCUCACAAAGUACCAUUCUUUGCCAAUAAGCUCCACGAUCCCUGAUCUUGCUAGAGUCAAGAGAACCUCUUUGUUCGGGUUCGAAACUGCAAGCUGCUCCAUUGAAAACCAACAAAAACAUCACAUAAGUUUCCCCAAACUAGAAGAAGCAAGUUGCUAAAUGAAGGUGGUCAACUGAAUGUCCCUUGUUUUGUACUCCUCGUACAGUUCUUUCAAGGCUUCCACGGCGCUUGAGUCUAUGUAUGUGACAGCUGCGUUACAUCCAAACUAUCAAUACCCAUUAAUGUAAGGUUCGAACUUUGGAUCAGAUAAAGUUGGGGCUUACGAGACAUUUCCAGGAUAAGAAAGUAGAUCCUCUCCACCUCUGGUCCUUUAUUAGUGUGUUUAUCAAAAGCUACUUCAUAUUCUCUUAGCCUGCGAUUUUAGUGAACAAAGGGUUGUGUUUAUUUCUUUCUGUGGGAUCAUAACAGAAGGCAAGUCAGUAACCAAAUGUCACUUUCACCUGUCUUUGAUGUAGCUUAUGUUGGCAAAAUAUAUGGGAGCAUCGACUCGAACAAUCACAAUCCCAUUGUAAGUGUACGCUUCUGGAUACUGCUUCAUGUUUCUGUACACAGUGGUUCCUGGAAGACGGCCCAAAACGGCUGCCAAACAUAUGCAAAUGGGAAGUAAUCAAGAAGAUGACUUAAUACCAUUGAUCUCAACGCUGAAUCUCUCGACCUAAAGGAGACCAAACCGGCACCAGUCGCAGCCACUGACACAGCCACGGCCUCGGAGGAAUAUACUUGCUGGUCUAUGGAAUUAGGCACAGUAGAUCCAGCACAGUUUGCAAGUUUGGGUAAGAGGAUAGACGAGGAUGAGGAAGAUUAUGACGAAGAAGUUUAAGGCAAAGCAGCACCAAGUAGGAUUUAAAUAGAGUAGUUUGUCUAGAAAAUGCUUCUUCUUCACUGUUUCCAUGUAUUGUAUUAAGAAUCCUUAUUUAUUUAUCCUGAUAUGUUAUUUAAGAUUUGCCUAAGAAGUUUAUGCUAAAACUUAAAAGAUCUUACAGCGUAAGCAAACACUGUUCGACCACGGUGACUAUUCUGGAAACAAAAAAAACGAAUAAAACCGACUGGUGACCAUUCUGAAAACAAAAAACACGAUUAGAAAAGAAAUCCGGUUCUUGUAACCAAGUUUAUACUACGAUAUGCUUAACACUCGAGAUGAGGGAUGCAUGGAGAAAGAUAAAUCAAGAUUACUUCCAGGAUUACUUAUCAAACACGUUACUUAAUAAUAAGAUUAUCAUAAAAGGAGUUUUAUUUAGUUUGAUAUUCUCUUAUUGCAUGGAUACAACAAAGCUGCAUUAACACUCUUUUUUUUUUUUAACACUCCUUAUUAGAUAGCAGCAUCCAAGAAAACGUUAAUUCCUUCACUAAACGGCCUUUGUUUGUCACAGUCAACAUUACUUCCAGGAUCAACACCAAACAUGCCACAAUACCUCGUAUAAAACGAUAUCCGAUCUUCGACCUGUGCGACAUUGCGACCAGCACACUCUAAUCCACCGUUAAUGAUAUUGGUAAUCACUCCAUAACCUGGUAAUCUCCCCGCUGAAAUGUCGGCAGCCGACGGCUGCCACUGGUCGGUGAUCACAUCGUGGCAAGACGGUUUAGGAGCCUGAGGAGUCAUCCAGAACCAAAUUGCGGUUUCGAAAGCGAUCACUGGGUCGCUGGACGCAAUAGCUGGCCUGCGUAGUAAGUCGAGUCCUAGGUCUCUCCCGCACUGUCCAUAAUUGUAGUUCCAAGACAGCAUCAUUGGUCCUCUUCCGUAGUAAAAUUGGCCAGGUGCGCAUGGCCACUCGAGGUUGUUGCUAUCACAGUAGGGAUUGCUUUUGCCAAUUUCGUCCUUGAAACAGUAGCCCCAUGUAUUUGCUCCGUCUGGUGCAUCCGUCCACCCACCUUCAACAUGUUACUUAUAUAUUAUAGUCCCAACUUUUCAAUAUGUUAAGCUUUUAUCGAAAAUACCCUAUGAUAAACAUCAAAAUACAUUCUUAGUCAUUUUUAUUUUAGAAAUGUUCCUUUUGUAUGUUAUUUUUAUCGUAAAAUUCCUCCAUCCAUUUUCCUCGUAUAUCAUUUAUUAAACAGAUUAAAAUAAUAAAAAGUGGGUUUUCUUUUGAAAUUGGGAUAGGAUGCGACGAAAGUUUCUAAUGUUUUGUUUGGUUGUGCCCGUUACGUACGUCAGUAUAUAAUUUUUAUAUAAAUUUGAAAUUUUCUAAUAAAAUGGCUAUAUUAUUUUGAACAAAAACAUUUUGUUUGCGUUUGGUGUUUGGGUUUUUUUUUUUUUUGCUGUUUAUUAAAACAAAUUAUUUUAUAUCAAAAAAUGUGUGUUUGUAUUUAAUAAACAAAUUAAUAGUAUUUUUAGUUGUUUUUCAACUAAUUUUAAAACUUG